CGUACACUCCUGCGGGAGGCAGCAGUGGGGAAUUUUGGACAAUGGGCGAAAGCCUGAUCCAGCCAUGCCGCGUGCAGGAUGAAGGCCUUCGGGUUGUAAACUGCUUUUGUACGGAACGAAACGGCCUUUUCUAAUAAAGAUGGCUAAUGACGGUACCGUAAGAAUAAGCACCGGCUAACUACGUGCCAGCAGCCGCGGUAAUACGUAGAGUGCAAGCGUUAAUCGGAAUUACUGGGCGUAAAGCGUGCGCAGGCGGUUAUGUAAGACAGUUGUGAAAUCCCCGGGCUCAACCUGGGAACUGCAUCUGUGACUGCAUAGCUAGAGUACGGUAGAGGGGGAUGGAAUUCCGCGUGUAGCAGUGAAAUGCGUAGAUAUGCGGAGGAACACCGAUGGCGAAGGCAAUCCCCUGGACCUGUACUGACGCUCAUGCACGAAAGCGUGGGGAGCAAACAGGAUUAGAUACCCCAGUAGUCCCA
rnacentral:rRNA from 1 species